AUACGGAGGGGGCUAGCGUUGUUCGGAAUUACUGGGCGUAAAGCGCGCGUAGGCGGCUUAUCAAGUUAGGCGUGAAAGGCCUGGGCUCAACCCGGGAAUUGCGCUUAAUACUGGUAGACUUGAGUCCGGGAGAGGGUGGCGGAAUUCCCAGUGUAGAGGUGAAAUUCGUAGAUAUUGGGAAGAACACCAGUGGCGAAGGCGGCCACCUGGCCCGGUACUGACGCUGAGGUGCGAAAGCGUGGGGAGCAAACAGGAUUAGAUACCCGAGUAGUCC
rnacentral:rRNA from 1 species